rnacentral:lncRNA from 1 species
CAAAUUGACAAGCUCGAGAAAGUUCUGGUGCGAGGACCCUCCCUCUUGGAUGCUUGCACGGGCCGUGGUCUUCAGUGUCACCGCUCUUUCCUUGAUCUCCUUGAGCUGCGCCGCCUUGUUCUUGAUCUCCUCCUGUGUGACAACCCCUUGCUUGUCUCGGCAAAGCUUAAUGCCUGUCUUCCACACAUUGCAUAUGUAGCUCUGGUUGCAGAAUUGCAUAAGAACGGGACACCGUGCAGUACACCUUCCAUUGUUGAGUUCCACCCACAGUGCGACAUGAAGCAAGCGAUUGAAGGGUGUGAUAGUACUCGUUGCUGGGGAGCCCAGCUAAUAACCAACCCCUUGCCCUUGAUACGGUCGGACAACCCACAGAAAUGGUUGGUCAGAGACGGCAAGCCCGUUAGCAAGCUCAUGGAACUGAGCUACGUCAAAGAUGGUGGAGCUCCCAAAGGCCACGAAUGGUGCAUCCUGCGAUGGAGCCAUACUGCCAUGAAGCAAGUUUUCAUGGGAGGACCCUCCCUCUGCUAUGCUUGUGCAUGCCGCAUGCUUCCACUUUGCUGCCCUCGCCUUGAUCUCCUUGUCGUCAACCAGCUGCUCGACCUUGUUCUUGAUCUCCUCCUUGGUGACAACCCCUCGCUCAUCCGCCUGGAGCUUCACUCCAGUCCCCCACACAUUGCAUAUGUAGCUCUGUACUGGUCGGCGAAGUACGGCCAGCACAGAAACGGCACACCAUGCCGGAGCCCUUCCAUUGUCGAGUUCCACCCGCAGUGCGACACGAAGCAUGCGAUCGACGGGUGCGAGAGCACGCUCUGCUGGGGAGCCCAACCGACGAUCAUUCCCUUGCCGCUGACACGGUGCCUGAACUCCUCCAGCCAGCCUUCGCCGGCACCAUUGGUGAAGUUUUGCCUGAUCACCCACAGGAAUGGCCGGCCAGAAAGCACUAGCCCAUCGGCGAGCUCUUGGACCCGCGCCAUGUCGAAGACGGUGAAGCUCCCAAACGCCACGUAG